rnacentral:rRNA from 1 species
GUGCACCAGGCGCGAAACCUCCGCGAUGCACGCAAGUGCGACGGGGGAACCCCAAGUGCCACUCUUAACGGGGUGGCUUUUCAGAAGUGUAAAAAGCUUCUGGAAUAAGGGCUGGGCAAGACCGGUGCCAGCCGCCGCGGUAACACCGGCAGCUCAAGUGGUAGCCGCUUUUAUUGGGCCUAAAGCGUCCGUAGCCGGUCUGAUAAGUCUCUGGUGAAAUCCCACAGCUUAACUGUGGGAAUUGCUGGAGAUACUAUCAUGACUCGAGGUCGGGAGAGGCUGGAGGUACUCCCAGGGUAGGGGUGAAAUCCUGUAAUCCUGGGAGGACCACCUGUGGCGAAGGCGUCCAGCUGGAACGAACCUGACGGUGAGGGACGAAAGCCAGGGGCGCGAACCGGAUUAGAUACCCCGGUAGUCC